AGAGUUUGAUCCUGGCUCAGGACGAACGCUGGCGGCGUGCCUAACACAUGCAAGUCGAGCGGAGACAGUGAGUAGCUUGCUAUGAGCUGUUUUAGCGGCGGACGGGUGAGUAACGCGUGAGCAACCUUUCCCAGACAGGGGAAUAACACACCGAAAGGUGUACUAAUACCGCAUAAGACCACGGAAUCACAUGGUUCUGGGGUAAAAGAUUUAUCGGUUUGGGGUGGGCUCGCGUCCGAUUAGGUAGUUGGUGAGGUAACGGCCCACCAAGCCGACGAUCGGUAGCCGACCUGAGAGGGUGAUCGGCCACAUUGGGACUGAGACACGGCCCAAACUCCUACGGGAGGCAGCAGUGGGGAAUAUUGGGCAAUGGGGGAAACCCUGACCCAGCAACGCCGCGUGGAGGAAGAAGGUUUUCGGAUCGUAAACUCCUGUCCUUGGAGACGAGUAGAAGACGGUAUCCAAGGAGGAAGCCCCGGCUAACUACGUGCCAGCAGCCGCGGUAAUACGUAGGGGGCAAGCGUUGUCCGGAAUAAUUGGGCGUAAAGGGCGCGUAGGCGGCUCGGUAAGUCUGGAGUGAAAGUCCUGCUUUUAAGGUGGGAAUUGCUUUGGAUACUGUCGGGCUUGAGUGCAGGAGAGGUUAGUGGAAUUCCCAGUGUAGCGGUGAAAUGCGUAGAGAUUGGGAGGAACACCAGUGGCGAAGGCGACUAACUGGACUGUAACUGACGCUGAGGCGCGAAAGUGUGGGGAGCAAACAGGAUUAGAUACCCUGGUAGUCCACACUGUAAACG
rnacentral:rRNA from 1 species